GAGGGUAUAGCACAGUGGUAGACUGCAUGCUUAGCAUGCUUGAGGUCCUGGGUUUGAUCCCCAGUACCUCCA
rnacentral:tRNA from 1 species